rnacentral:rRNA from 1 species
GGUGAACGCUGGCGGUAGGCCUAACACAUGCAAGUCGAACGGCAGCACAGUAAGAGCUUGCUCUUACGGGUGGCGAGUGGCGGACGGGUGAGGAAUACAUCGGAAUCUACUUUUUCGUGGGGGAGAACGUAGGGAAACUUACGCUAAUACCGCAUACGACCUACGGGUGAAAGCAGGGGAUCUUCGGACCUUGCGCGAUUGAAUGAGCCGAUGUCGGAUUAGCUAGUUGGCGGGGUAAAGGCCCACCAAGGCGACGAUCCGUAGCUGGUCUGAGAGGAUGAUCAGCCACACUGGAACUGAGACACGGUCCAGACUCCUACGGGAGGCAGCAGUGGGGAAUAUUGGACAAUGGGCGCAAGCCUGAUCCAGCCAUACCGCGUGGGUGAAGAAGGCCUUCGGGUUGCAAAGCCCUUUUGUUGGGAAAGAAAAGCAGCAGGUUAAUACCCCGCUGUUCUGACGGUACCCAAAGAAUAAGCACCGGCUAACUUCGUG